rnacentral:tRNA from 1 species
AUGAUACUAGUAAAAAUUAUUACGAUGCCUUGUCAAGGCAAAAUUGCAGGUUAGAGUCCUGCGUAUCUUG